rnacentral:autocatalytically_spliced_intron from 1 species
UCCUGCAGGCUAGCAGGAUGAAGAUAUAGUCCAUACUAUUAGUAAUAAUA